rnacentral:rRNA from 1 species
UACGUAGGGUGCAAGCGUUGUCCGGAAUUAUUGGGCGUAAAGAGCUUGUAGGCGGUUUGUCGCGUCUGCUGUGAAAUUUCGGGACUCAACCCCGAACUUGCAGUGGGUACGGGCAGACUAGAGUGUGGUAGGGGAGACUGGAAUUCCUGGUGUAGCGGUGAAAUGCGCAGAUAUCAGGAGGAACACCGAUGGCGAAGGCAGGUCUCUGGGCCAUAACUGACGCUGAGAAGCGAAAGCAUGGGGAGCGAACAGG